GCGGCGUGCUUCAUACAUGCAAGUCGAACGAGAAGCAGGAGCUUGCUCCUGUGGAAAGUGGCGGACGGGUGAGUAACACGUAGGAAAUCUGCCUUUGGGUGGGGACAACAGUUGGAAACGACUGCUAAUACCCCAUAUGAGCUUGGUUGCAAUACCAAUCUUGAAAACUCCGGUGCCUAAAGAUGAGCCUGCGUCUGAUUAGCUUGUUGGCGGGGUAAUGGCCCACCAAGGCGACGAUCAGUAGCUGGUUUGAGAGGAUGAUCAGCCACAAUGGGACUGAGACACGGCCCAUACUCCUACGGGAGGCAGCAGUAGGGAAUUUUGCGCAAUGGGGGAAACCCUGACGCAGCAACGCCGCGUGAAUGACGAAGCCCUUCGGAGUGUAAAGAUCUGUCAGUAGGGAAGAAUUUUGACUGUACCUACAAAGGAAGCACCGGCUAACUCCGUGCCAGCCGCCGCCGUAA
rnacentral:rRNA from 1 species